rnacentral:tRNA from 1 species
UCCCCGAUCGUCUAAAGGUAAGACAGCGGCCUUUGGAGCCGUGAAUCGUGGUUCGAAUCCAUGUCGGGGAGCCA